CCUACGGGGGGCUGCAGUGGGGAAUAUUGGACAAUGGGGGCAACCCUGAUCCAGCCAUGCCGCGUGUGUGAAGAAGGCCCUCGGGUUGUAAAGCACUUUCAGUGAGGAAGAACGCCUGGUGGUUAAUACCCAUCAGGAAAGACAUCACUCACAGAAGAAGCACCGGCUAACUCCGUGCCAGCAGCCGCGGUAAUACGGAGGGUGCGAGCGUUAAUCGGAAUUACUGGGCGUAAAGCGCGCGUAGGUGGCUUGAUAAGCCGGUUGUGAAAGCCCCGGGCUCAACCUGGGAACGGCAUCCGGAACUGUCAAGCUAGAGUGCAGGAGAGGAAGGUAGAAUUCCCGGUGUAGCGGUGCAAUGCGUAGAGAUCGGGAGGAAUACCAGUGGCGAAGGCGGCCUUCUGGACUGACACUGACACUGAGGUGCGAAAGCGUGGGUAGCAAACAGGAUUAGCUACCCUUGUAGUC
rnacentral:rRNA from 1 species